GACGAACGCUGGCGGCGUGCUUAACACAUGCAAGUCGAACGGAAAGGCCCUGCUUUUGUGGGGUGCUCGAGUGGCGAACGGGUGAGUAACACGUGAGUAACCUGCCCUUGACUUUGGGAUAACUUCAGGAAACUGGGGCUAAUACCGGAUAGGAGCUCCUGCUGCAUGGUGGGGGUUGGAAAGUUUCGGCGGUUGGGGAUGGACUCGCGGCUUAUCAGCUUGUUGGUGGGGUAGUGGCUUACCAAGGCUUUGACGGGUAGCCGGCCUGGGAGGGUGACCGGCCACAUUGGGACUGAGGUACGGCCCAGGCUCCUACGGGAGGCAGCAGUGGGGAAUAUUGCACAAUGGGCGGAAGCCUGAUGCAGCAACGCCGCGUGCGGGAUGACGGCCUUCGGGUUGUAAACCGCUUUCGCCUGUGACGAAGCGUGAGUGACGGUAAUGGGUAAAGAAGCACCGGCUAACUACGUG
rnacentral:rRNA from 1 species